rnacentral:rRNA from 1 species
UACGGAGGGGGCCAGCGUUGUUCGGAAUCAUUGGGCGUAAAGGGCGCGUAGGCGGCCUGGCAAGUGGAAGGUGAAAUCCCUCGGCUUAACCGAGGAACUGCCCUCCAAACUGCUUGGCUUGAGACCGGGAGAGGUGAGUGGAAUUCCCAGUGUAGCGGUGAAAUGCGUAGAUAUUGGGAGGAACACCAGUGGCGAAGGCGGCUCACUGGACCGGUACUGACGCUGAGGCGCGAAAGCGUGGGGAGCAAACGGG